CUGUGUUGAAUUUACCUAACGUCAGCACACAGACAUAGUAUUGUUCCAGUUUUGCUGUGCUCAUGUCUUCUUUGUGUCCCCAGCCCAGCAAUCAGAUGCAUCAGAACAACAAAGCACAACUGUGGUGGACCAGGCACCUUCAGCAACAAAGAUUUAACAACACUGUCAGUCAGGAGCAUAUUUAACAGGAGCCACACUCAACUGGCUUGAUGGUGACUUCAGUAAGUGUGGUCAACCCUCUUGUUUUUGUGGCUAUAACAAUUAGACUAAGUAAUCUCACUCUCUUCCAUUUCCUUAACAUGAAACUUUUUUUUUUUGUUGAUACUGAACCGGUGCAGUGAAGAUAUUUAAAGAGACACUAUCUAAAGUACAGAAAGCCGUACAUAAUCUCUAGGUGCAGUCGCCUACAGUGCAGCCAGCUUCACAAAGACUGUGGGGCUGGUCACCAGGAAAAUGGCCAACAAGGAGUGCUUUUGGGGUUUUACUCCUCAGAUGACCACCCUGGCUACUGUAGCUGGGAUUGCUUCACAGACAAUGGAGGUCUUGAAGAGUAAAGUGUGCGUGCAUGUGAACACAUUGUGUUAUUACAGUAACAAUUAUGGUCACUUGCAGUUCAUGUGUUUUCAAUGUAGUGUAAGAUGUGUUAAUUAUUAUUAUUACUCAAAAACCAUUAAAACUUCUAAAUUGUGGAAGUUAUUCUUCA